AGAGAGGGAGACACAGAAUCCCAAGCAGGCUCCAGGCUGCCAGCACAGAGCCCGAUGCAGGGCUUGAACUCACAAACUGUGAGAUCAUGACAUGAGCUGAAUGAAGUCAGACACUUAGCCAACUGAGCCACAGGUGCCCCCAGAUCUUGAAUUUUUAAAUGGGAGUGCAGAGGGUCAGAGAGAGAAAGAUUUCAAAAAAGGAAUGAGUGAAUGAGUAGCUAAGACUGCAGAAAGUGGCUGCUCUAAAUGUGGUCUGUAGGUUAAGCAGCAUUGGCAUCACCGGGGGCUAUUCUGAAUUGCGUGAUCUCAGACACUACCCAAAUUUCCUAAGCCAGAAUCUUCAUUUUAAUGAUUCAUGUGCACAUUAAAAUUUGAGAAAUAUUGGCCUAGUGUUUUAAUGCAACUUAAACAUAUCUUUUGGAUUUAAAGAUGAAGGUCAUUGAUGACUUCUGAGAAAACAGAUUUUAAAAAGGGUUGGGACAAAAGCCAAGAUGCAUGGAGGUGUGGAGUGAAAGACAGGAGACAAAGUGAAAGCAGUUAUGAUUGAGGCUACAGUAAAGGAACAGGGAGCCAAGAAGUGGAUUGGUGGCAGGAGAGACGUGUAUGGGCUUGGGGGGGGAGUGUUAAAUUAUUUUUUAAGAUGAGAAAGCUUAAAUAUUUUAAUUGAUGAAAAGGAAUCGGUGGCAAAAAAAAAAAAAUAAUAAGAUUAUGGAGUUUGGAUAAUCAGUGGGCUGAGGUGCCAGAGAAUUGAGACAGAAUGAUAUGGGAGAAGAGUUUGGGCACAGGAUACUGUCUGUUUAAAAGUAAGAGGGCUACCUUUCACAUCAUUACAGGAAGUAAGGUAAAUUAUAUGUAUAAAAGCAAAGUUUUAGUUGGGAUGCAGAAAGUUGAAGAUGAUAUCAAUGAUAUCAUUUAAUGAUAUUAAUUAUCUUUAUGGUCACCUACCAUGGAUAAUCAAAAGGUGGUGGAUAUGCUGUUUUGGCAGAGUAGAGCUUCAAGGGAGAUAUUGUAGAGUAUGGAAUGAUAACAGAUUAUAGAAACAAAAUAUUUUCAUGCACUGUUUCAUGUACAAUUGAUGUUAAAAGCUGUGACUAUAUGGAGACAAUCUUCAGUAUAGCUAUGUGAUUUUUACCAGCUAUGCUCAUCAGUUAAGCAAUAUGACUAAGAGGGAAGAUUGGUCCAGAAGUGGAAUUUACCAGAUGUGUUGUGAUGGUUAAUUUUGUGUCAACUUAACUGGCCUGAGGGAUGCCCAGAUAGCUGGUAAAACAUUCUUUCUGCAUGUCUGUGAGAAUUUCCAGGAGAGAUUAGUGGAUUGGAGGCAGGAGAGGCACGUAUGGGUUUGGAGAGUGUUAAAUUAUUUUUUAAGAUGAGAAAGCUUAAAUAUUUGAAAUGAUGAAAAGGAAUCAGUGGCAGAAAAAAAUAAGAUUAUAGAGUGAGAUUAUUUGACUGAGUGGAAUGACCAAAGAGAUCUCCUCUCACUAGUGUGGGCAGGUAUUGUCUAGUCCACUGGGGGUCUGAAUGGAACAGAAAGAUGGAGAAAGAACAAAUUGUCUCCCUCUUACCCUUUUCUCUCUUCAUGAGCUGGAACAUCCAUCUUUUUCUGCUGUCAGACCAUGGAGAUCCUGGUUCUCAGGCCUUUGGACAUGGAGGGAAUUAUACCACCGGCUUUCUUGGUCUUCCAGCUUGCAGAUGGCAGACUUUGGGACUUCUUGGCCUCUCUAAUGAAAUAACAGGUGGACAGAGUGAGAUGAGAAUACCAGCACGAAGAAGUUGAAGAAAUAUGUCCUGGAGAAUGUUGGAUGAGAAGGAAGAGAAAAUAGCAGAUGAGACAGAAGACUAUGAAGGAACUGGAGGAACAGAUGUUAUUAAAGAAAAGAUUUGGUGAGAGUAACUUCAUGAGGACAAUCAAAACAGAUGAUUGUCAUCUGAGAAGGCAUAUUGAAAGUAAAAGGAUAGAGGACUAGGAAGAUGGCGGCGUAGGAGGACGCUGGGCUCACCGUGCGUCCUGCUGAUCACUUAGAUUCCACCUACACCUGCCUAAAUAACCCAGAAAACCACCAGAGGAUUAGCAGAACGGAGUCUCCGGAGCCAAGCGCAGACGAGAGGCCCACGGAAGAGGGUAGGAAGGGCGGCGAGGCGGUGCGCGCUCCACAGACUGGCGGGAGGGAGCCAGGGUGGAGGGGCGGCUCGCUGACCAAGCAGAGCCCCCGAGUCUGGCUUGCAAAAGCGGAGGGGCCGGACGGAGUGUGUUCUGACAGCAAGCGGGACUUAGCAUCUGGGAGGUCAUAAGUUAACAGCUCUGCUCAGAAAGCGGGAAGGCUGGAGGACAAAGGGAGGGAGAGUUGCUGAGCCCCAGGAUGACAGAGCUCAGUUUGGCGGGGAACAAAGGCACUCGCCAGCACCAUCUCCCUCGCCCAUCCCCCAGCGAAAAUCCCAAAGGGAACCGGUUCCUGCCAGGGAACUUGAUCGCUCUGCGCAAACACCCAGCGCUGUGCUUCUGCGGAGCCACCCCUCCGGCAGCGGGCCUGACUCCCUCCUGCUGCCACAGGGCCCCUCCUGAAGUGGAUCACCUAAGGAGAAACGAGCUAAGCCUGCCCCUCCUGCCCCCGAGCACCUUGCCUACCCACCCCAGCUAAUACACCAGAUCCCCAGCACCACAAGCCUGGCAGUGUGCAAGUAGCCCAGACGGGCCACGCCACCCCACACUGAAUCCCACCCCUAGGAGAGGGGAAGAGAAGGCACACACCAGUCUGACUGUGGCCCCAGCGGUGGGCUGGGGGCAGACAUCAGGUCUGACUGCGGCCCCACCCACCAACUCCAGUUAUACACCACAGCACAGGGGAAGUGCCCUGCAGGUCCGCACCACUCCAGGGACUAGCCAAAAUGACCAAACAGAAGAAUUCCCCUCAGAAAAACGUCCAGGAAAUAACAACAGCUAAUGAACUGAUCAAAAAUGAUUUAAACAAUAUAACAGAAAGUGAAUUUAGA